rnacentral:rRNA from 1 species
GACCUCAGAUCAGGUAGGGACACCGCCUGAACUUAAGCAUAUCAAUAAGGCGAGGAACAGAAACCAACAGGGAUUCCCCCAGUAGUGGCGAAUGAAGCGGGAAAAGCUCAAGUUUGAAAUCCAAGGUUUUUCCCUUGGAGUUGUAAGCUGAAGAGGCGUCGACCGACGUGGUCCGGGCCCAAUUUCCUUGGAACAGGAGGUCAUGGAGGGUGAGAACCCCGUCCGUGGUUCGGGUGCCUAGUCUUUGUGUCGUGCCCUCGCAGAGUCGGGUUGUUUGGGAAUGCAGCUCAAAAUGGGUGGUAAAUUUCAUCUAAAGCUAAAUAUUGGCGAGAGACCGAUAGCAAACAAGUAGAGUGAUCGAAAGAUGAAAAGUACUUUGAAAAGAGAGUGAAACAGUACGUGAAAUUGUUGAAAGGGAAGCGU